GUAAAAUACAACUCAAAGAUAUCAACCUUCCUCCGCUUUAAAAAUGUAACAGAACACUUGAAAUAGAAAAAUAGUAGAUAGUGAUAAGACUCAAAAGUUGCAUUCCUAAUCUUUUCUCCAUUAGAAGUUGCUUGAUUCCAUCAGAAAUGUAUUAUCGACGAUUUGCAGAUCAUUUUCUGAGGCAAUGAUUGCUGUGCACGGUUUCCUGAAGAUAACACCAUGUUCCACAACACCAUCAAUCUGAUCAAGGAUUUUAGCCACUUCAACUAGGCUUUCUAUUGGAGAUGUAAAUAUGACAUCAAGGAUGUUGUGCCCUUCUUUAGUAACUAAAGGGAAAUCACCUCCAAGAGGACCUGCAUACCCUAUAGCUGGCCUCCUCCAAACCUCUGCAUCCCCGAGGAAGAGGUCGUCUAUUUCUUCAGCUGUUUCAAGCCAGUUAACAGAUUUGAUUAGUACUGGAACUGAACCUUCUACACCGCCCUUGAAUUGUUUUUCCUUUAUAAUAAAUAUCAGUUGAUCAGCUGCUUCUAAAAUAGUCUUCUCUUUAAUUAUAGAAUCAUCUCCCUGCAGUUUUCGUCGACCAAUAAUUGCAGCAAGUGUUUCUUCUUCCAUAAUGUCAGCUUCAUCAAAUGCUAGAUCAAUCUUUAAACUGUCAUCAUACUGUUCCAAAGGAAUUCCUGCCUUUGCUGCUUCACUUGCACUGCUAACACAUGUGGGUAUGGCAGUGACAUCUUUUAUAGUACCAGCUCGUAGUUUCUGACCUAGAUACUGUAUAGCCAAUGUAGAAGCAUGACCUGAACCUAAUCCAACAACCAUACCAUUCUUCACAUAUGAAUCCACAGUGUGUUUGGCGGCUAGGAAGAGAUCAUCAGAGAGAGUAGAACGAGUAACAAAGCGAUGGAGGGGUUUUCUUGAUGAGGUGAAAUUAUGAGCUUGCUUUUGAGUUGUACAAGAAAAAAG
rnacentral:misc_RNA from 1 species